rnacentral:rRNA from 1 species
UACGGAGGGUGCUAGCGUUAUUCGGAAUUAUUGGGCGUAAAGGGCGCGUAGGCGGCCCGGUAAGUCAAAGGUGAAAUCCCUCGGCUCAACUGAGGAACUGCCUUUGAAACUGUCGGGCUUGAGGCCGGGAGGGGGUAGCGGAAUUCCCAGUGUAGCGGUGAAAUGCGUAGAUAUUGGGAGGAACACCGGUGGCGAAGGCGGCUGCCUGGACCGGUUCUGACGCUGAUGCGCGAAAGCGUGGGUAGCAAACAGG